AUGAACGCUGGCGGCGUGCCUAAUACAUGCAAGUCGAGCGCACGGACGAGAAGCUUGCUUCUCUGAUGUUAGCGGCGGACGGGUGAGUAACACGUGGAUAACCUACCUAUAAGACUGGGAUAACUUCGGGAAACCGGAGCUAAUACCGGAUGAUAUUUUGAACCGCAUGGUUCAAAAGUGAAAGACGGUCUUGCUGUCACUUAUAGAUGGAUCCGCGCUGCAUUAGCUAGUUGGUAAGGUAACGGCUUACCAAGGCAACGAUGCAUAGCCGACCUGAGAGGGUGAUCGGCCACACUGGAACUGAGACACGGUCCAGACUCCUACGGGAGGCAGCAGUAGGGAAUCUUCCGCAAUGGGCGAAGGCCUGACGGAGCAACGCCGCGUGAGUGAUGAAGGUCUUCGGAUCGUAAAACUCUGUUAUUAGGGAAGAACAUAUGUGUAAGUAACUGUGCACAUCUUGACGGUACCUAAUCAGAAAGCCACGGCUAACUACGUG
rnacentral:rRNA from 1 species